rnacentral:rRNA from 1 species
GACGAACGCUGGCGGCGUGCCUAAUACAUGCAAGUCGAACGCACUCUCGUUUAGAUUGAAGGAGCUUGCUCCUGAUUGAUAAACAUUUGAGUGAGUGGCGGACGGGUGAGUAACACGUGGGUAACCUGCCCUAAAGUGGGGGAUAACAUUUGGAAACAGAUGCUAAUACCGCAUAAAACCUAAACACCGCAUGGUGUAGGGUUGAAAGAUGGUUUCGGCUAUCACUUUAGGAUGGACCCGCGGUGCAUUAGUUAGUUGGUGAGGUAAAGGCUCACCAAGACCGUGAUGCAUAGCCGACCUGAGAGGGUAAUCGGCCACACUGGGACUGAGACACGGCCCAGACUCCUACGGGAGGCAGCAGUAGGGAAUCUUCCACAAUGGACGAAAGUCUGAUGGAGCAACGCCGCGUGAGUGAAGAAGGUUUUCGGAUCGUAAAAACUCUGUUGUUGGAGAAGAAUGUAUCUGAUAGUAACUGAUCAGGUAGUGACGGUAUCCAACCAGAAAG